UAAAGGUUUGGUCCUGGCCUCAGUAUUAAUUGUAACCAAAAUUAUACAUGCAAGUUUCAGCAUCCCUGUGAGAAUGCCCUAACUACUCUAUCAAUUGGUUAGGGGCGGGUAUCAGGCACACAUGCACGUAGCCCAAGACACCUUGCUAAGCCACACCCCCAAGGGAUUUCAGCAGUAAUAAAUAUUGAUCAUAUGAGCGCAAGCUCGAAUCAGUUAAAGUUAACAGAGUUGGUUAAUCUCGUGCCAGCCGCCGCGGUUAUACGAGUAACUCAUAUUAAUAUUUCCCGGCGUAAAGAGUGAUUUAAGGAAUAUCUACCAAUAACUAAAGUUAAGACCUUAUCAAGCUGUCACACGCACCCACAAGCGGAAUUGUCAACAACGAAAGUGACUUUAUUAUCCCUAGAAAUCUUGAUGUCACGACAGUUAGACCCCAAACUAGGAUUAGAUACCCUACUAUGUCUAACCACAAACUUAAACAAUAACUCACUACAUUGUUCGCCAGAGUACUACAAGCGCUAGCUUAAAACCCAAAGGACUUGGCGGUGUCCCAAACCCACCUAGAGGAGCCUGUUCUGUAACCGAUAAUCCCCGUUAAACCUCACCACUUCUAGCCAUCCCCGUCUAUAUACCGCCGUCGUCAGCUCACCCUGUGAAGGCCUAAAAGUAAGCAAAAAGAACUAACUUCCAUACGUCAGGUCGAGGUGUAGCGAAUGAAGUGGGUAGAAAUGGGCUACAUUUUCUAUAAAGAAAACACGAAUGGCAAACUGAAAAAUUGCCUAAAGGUGGAUUUAGCAGUAAGAAAAGACUAGAGAGCUUCUCUGAAACCGGCUCUGGGACGCGCACACACCGCCCGUCACUCUCCUCAAAAAAAUCUACUUAUUUUUAAUUAAAGAAAAUACAUCAAGAGGAGGCAAGUCGUAACAUGGUAAGUGUACUGGAAAGUGCACUUGGAAU
rnacentral:ncRNA from 1 species